UACAGAGGGUGCGAGCGUUGUCCGGAAUCACUGGGCGUAAAGGGCGCGUAGGUGGCGACCCAAGUCGAUGGUGAAAGCUCGCCGCUCAACGGCGAGUCGGCCACCGAUACUGGGUUGCUGGAGCACUGUAGAGGCUCAUGGAAUUCCGGGUGUAGCGGUGAAAUGCGUAGAUAUCUGGAGGAACACCGGUGGCGAAGGCGGCAUCCUGGACCGAGAUUGACGGCUGAGGCGCGAAAGCCAGGGGAGCAAACGGGG
rnacentral:rRNA from 1 species